AAUUUGUUCGAACGGUGGAACAUGUGGUUUAAUGCGAUAAUCCACGUAAAAUCUUACCAAUAUUUAAUAUUAAAUAUUUAUAAAUUAGUAGCAUUACAUAUUAUAUAUAUUUAAUUUCGGUACUGCAUGGCUGUCGUCAGUUCGUGUUGUGAAAUGUAAAAUUAAGUUUUAUUUACGAACGCAACCUAUUGUGUAUUUUAUUUAACUUAAAUUUAGUUAUAUUUAAUACAUAAAUUAAUAUAGUUUUAUAUUAUUUGGUUUUAGCUGAAGUCAAGUCCUUAUGGUCUUUAUAUAUUGGGCUACACACGUGUUACAAAGGCAAAAACAAAAAGUAACAAAUAUGUAAAUAAGAGUAAAUCUUAAAAAAUUGCCCAAGUUCGGAUUAUUUUAUGUAACUCUAAAGUAUGAAGAUGAAAUCGUUAGUAAUUGUAAGUUAGUAUAUUACAGUGAAUCAUAAGUCAAAUUUUGCACACACUGCCCAUCACGCUCGAAAAAUUUUAUAAAGUAGAAGAUAAAGUAAAAUAAAAAUUAAAAAUUUUAAUUAUUUAGUUUUAUUUAUCGUAACUUUAUACAGUAAUUU
rnacentral:rRNA from 1 species